GACGAACGCUGGCGGCGUGCUUAACACAUGCCAGUUGACCGGAAAGGCCCUGCUUUUGUGGGGUGCUCGAGUGGCGAACGGGUGUGUAACACGUGAGUAACCUGCCCUUGACUUUGGGAUAACUUUAGGAAACUGGGGCUAAUACCUGAUAGAAGCUCCUGCUGCAUGGUGGGGGUUGGGAAGUUUCGGCGGUUGGGGAUGGACUCGCGGCUUAUCAGCUUGUUGGUGGGGUAGUGGCUUACCACGGCUUUGACGGGUAGCCGGCCGUAGAGGGUGACCGGCCACAUUGGGACUGAGGUACGGCCCAGACUCCUACCGGAGGCAGAAGUGCGGGAUAUUGCACAAUGGGCGGAAGCCUGAUGCAGCAACGCCGCGUGCGGUAUGACGGCCUUCGGGGGGUAAACCGCUUUCGCCUUUGACGAAGCGUGAGUGACGGUAAUGGGUAAAGAAGCACCGGCUAACUACGUG
rnacentral:rRNA from 1 species